rnacentral:rRNA from 1 species
AGUGAACGCUGGCGGUAGGCCUAACACAUGCAAGUCGAACGGCAGCACAGUAAGAGCUCGCUCUUACGGGUGGCGAGUGGCGGACGGGUGAGGAAUACAUCGGAAUCUACUUUUUCGUGGGGGAGAACGUAGGGAAACUUACGCUAAUACCGCAUACGACCUACGGGUGAAAGCAGGGGAUCUUCGGACCUUGCGCGAUUGAAUGAGCCGAUGUCGGAUUAGCUAGUUGGCGGGGUAAAGGCCCACCAAGGCGACGAUCCGUAGCUGGUCUGAGAGGAUGAUCAGCCACACUGGAACUGAGACACGGUCCAGACUCCUACGGGAGGCAGCAGUGGGGAAUAUUGGACAAUGGGCGCAAGCCUGAUCCAGCCAUACCGCGUGGGUGAAGAAGGCCUUCGGGUUGUAAAGCCCUUUUGUUGGGAAAGAAAAGCAGCAGGUUAAUACCCCGCUGUUCUGACGGUACCCAAAGAAUAAGCACCGGCUAACUUCGUG